rnacentral:misc_RNA from 1 species
CAAGGAUAAAAUCAAUGAAGAAGUUAUAAUUUUGAGAAACACAACUCCAAAGGAUUUAUGGAUGAGAGACCUUGAUGCUUUUGAGAGCCAACUUGAAAAAUUUGAAGCUGAAGAAAGGGAGGAAAGGCAGAAGUCAACAAGUGAAGUAAAUGGUCAAGGUGGUUUUAGGGUUUCAAGACAAGCACCAAAAAAUCCAAGAAAGUAUAAUAAGACAGGCAAAAAUGCAGUAGCUGCAGAAACCAUGGGA